ACAAGCGGUGGAGCAUGUGGUUUAAUUCGAAGCUACGCGAAGAACCUUACCAGGUCUUGACAUCUUCUGCUAACCUAAGAGAUUAGGCGUUCCCUUCGGGGACGGAAUGACAGGUGGUGCAUGGUUGUCGUCAGCUCGUGUCGUGAGAUGUUGGGUUAAGUCCCGCAACGAGCGCAACCCUUAUUAUUAGUUGCCAGCAUUAAGUUGGGCACUCUAGUGAGACUGCCGGUGACAAACCGGAGGAAGGUGGGGACGACGUCAAAUCAUCAUGCCCCUUAUGACCUGGGCUACACACGUGCUACAAUGGACGGUACAACGAGUUGCGAAACCGCGAGGUCAAGCUAAUCUCUUAAAACCGUUCUCAGUUCGGAUUGCAGGCUGCAACUCGCCUGCACGAAGUUGGAAUCGCUAGUAAUCGCGGAUCAGCAUGCCACGGUGAAUACGUUCCCGGGCCUUGUACACACCGCCCGUCACACCAUGAGAGUUUGUAACACCCAAAGCCGGUGGAGUAACCUUCGGGAGCCAGCCGUCUAAGGUGGGACAGAUGAUUGGGGUGAAGUCGUAACAAGGUA
rnacentral:rRNA from 1 species